rnacentral:lncRNA from 10 species
UGGUGCCCGGAUGAAGGUCCCACCACGAGCCAUCCUCCGCGCCUGGGUCCUCCUCUCUGGCCCCAGGUGUAAAAGAAGGAUGCACCUCUGAACGAGGACUAGAGAUGAGUUUAGAGAAUUCGGGAGUGCGAGGAAGGGUCCAAGAUGUGAGGUUCUCAUCCAAGCACAGAGGAUGAUGGAGGUCUACCUUCCUCUGGGUGAUCCCUGCCGUAUGACCCAGCUCAUCCCUAGAGUUGGGCCACUCCCAGGAUGGUAGGUCAGAUACACCUACAGCACAGUGCUAGAACCAUCCCCACCCCAGCUGCCCAGGCCAACACAAGGGGCAGUGGCAUUUUCCCCCUGCAGACCUGCUGUCAGCCCAAAUGGAGGAUCUAGACACAUCUCAGCUUCCCCAGUUUAACUCAGGAUACAGAUGGGAGAGGGGAUGGUCUAUUUCUGAAACCCAAAGCUUCAGGUGACCUGCCCCUCAUAAAGCCUCAAACGGGUCCUGAGUCUUUGAAAGAGUUCUCAUGCCAUUCCCAAAGCAUGUUCAGUAAUGAAAAGCAUUUCACCGUCUACGCUGCUCCCCGCCUGGCCUGGUCACAUCGGGCCCACUAAACCGACUCACAUGCCCCCACCCCCUUCCCUCAAGCAGGGACUUCACCUCCCUGGGGAGCAGCUUUCUGGCCACCAGAUACCCCUGGAAUCUGGGAGAUACCCCCACCAGAGAAAACCAAAUUUCCAUCCCUCUCUUGACUCAUACCAGUGCCAGGCAACUCUCUGACUGCUACCCAUCUUCCUCUCCAUGCUAGGGGAGGCCCAGAUAGAAAGUUGGGAGGGAAUGGCUUCCCCAGAGAAGAGCUUGACAGCAAGCUCUGGAAGAUACAAUUGCACCCCUUUAAGUGAUACAAGGUCAGAGUGCAGGAAGAGGAGGGCAACAAGAGAAGUCAUAACCACAGAACCUAAGAGCAAGAAUUGCCCAAAAAGAUGACAUAAGCAAGUGCAUCCUAGGCAUGGAUCAUUUUUCAGAAGCUCCCCACCACCACCAGAAGAUUCUUAUAUGCAGCAAAUGUUGAGAACCACUGCUCCAGGCCAAUCUUCUUAUUUUGAAGAGAAGGAAGCAGACUGAAUGACUUGGCACAGUGACUUGGACAAGGAUGUUCAUUUAUUCAUUCAAUAAACCAGGUCUCCUAACUCCUGG